GCGGACGUGGUGCGCGGCGCACUGCUGCAUUUUAUUGCAAGGCACCUAGCAAAGGCUGAGCAGUCAAACGGGGUUCGACUCCCCGCGUCCGCC